rfam:Cytophaga hutchinsonii ATCC 33406, complete genome.
UUGUACCGGCAGACUGGUACGACCAGCUCCUGUGAACCUCCCCAGGUCCGGAAGGAAGCAAGGAUAAGUGGUUGUAGCGGUGCGAUAUUCAGUUUGCCUUUU